AUAUGCCUACGGGGCGCAGCAGUGGGGAAUAUUGCACAAUGGGGGAAACCCUGAUGCAGCAACGCCGCGUGAAGGAAGAAGGUUUUCGGAUUGUAAACCUCUGUGGAGGGGGACGAUAAUGACGGUACCCCUUUAGGAAGCCACGGCUAACUACGUGCCAGCAGCCGCGGUAAUACGUAGGUGGCGAGCGUUGUCCGGAAUUACUGGGUGUAAAGGGAGUGUAGGCGGGAAAGCAAGUCAGAAGUGAAAACUAUGGGCUUAACCCAUAGCCUGCUUUUGAAACUGUUUUUCUUGAGUGAAGUAGG
rnacentral:rRNA from 1 species